rnacentral:rRNA from 1 species
GACGAACGCUGGCGGCGUGCUUAACACAUGCAAGUCGAACGCUGAAGCUUGGUGCUUGCACUGGGUGGAUGAGUGGCGAACGGGUGAGUAAUACGUGAGUAACCUGCCCUUGACUCUGGGAUAAGCCUGGGAAACUGGGUCCAAUACUGGAUACGACAUGUCACCGCAUGGUGGUGUGUGGAAAGGGUUUUACUGGUUUUGGAUGGGCUCACGGCCUAUCAGCUUGUUGGUGGGGUAAUGGCUCACCAAGGCGACGACGGGUAGCCGGCCUGAGAGGGUGACCGGCCACACUGGGACUGAGACACAGCCCAGACUCCUACGGGAGGCAGCAGUGGGGAAUAUUGCACAAUGGGCGGAAGCCUGAUGCAGCGACGCCGCGUGAGGGAUGACGGCCUUCGGGUUGUAAACCUCUUUCAGCACGGAAGAAGCGAAAGUGACGGUACGUGCAGAAGAAGCGCCGGCUAACUACGUG